rnacentral:rRNA from 1 species
AUGCUGAUGCAAGUCCUCAAAGUGAAGGGGUAUCAGAUCCUAGACAUCAAACACCAAUUGCAAUCCAUAAAUGGCGACCGUGCCCAUUCUGAUGAUGACUACUGGAUGAGCAAUGGAUCUGAUCUCAUUGCCCGUCAUGAUGAUGGCAACCAUAUGGACUUCGAAGCUGGUGGGCCACGAUCCUAUGAGGAGACAAGGGAAAGCGGGGUCAAUAUUGGAAAAGGCCUAGAANNNNNNNNNNNNNNNNNNNNNNNNNNNCUGCCGCUUGUCAUUCCAGAAGGGAGGUUAAGGCCGGAGACACCUCUUCUGGCUGCAAAGUUUGCAACCGAAUGCAAUGUCACAGUCAGAGGCCAUGUGCCUGUGUUUAAACGCUGGAAGGAUUACAAGGACCCAGGCAGAAAUGUCCGAGAAGGGAUCUUCCAGAACUUUGUAGGCAAAGUUGGUAACAAAUUUAAGAUGGACGUAAAAGCUGUGCCCGUUAGGAAGGCUUGUACGCAAAUGCUGAAAGCCAAUACAUGUCUUUUGCACUUAAUGGGAGACAAAUACAAGGAGAAAGAACCCACUGCACUGGAUUUAUUCAAAGAGUGCCACUACAGCAGCAAAAAGAAAGGCUACACCGAUGCUGUGCAAGCUGCAAUUGAUGAAAUGGAAGAGAAAGCUACUCAACCUACAGAAGAUGGCCAACAAUCCAACUCUGCAACCAAGGCUGUGGCUGAAGUUCUUACUAAGCACACUAAGAAGCCAAUGUUUCUUAAGCAUGUGGGGGUCCAGCACGUGCAUGAGAGAUCCAAUCGUAGCGACCGUGAGGCAGAACAGGAAGCGCAGAAGAGGGGAAAUGCUGAGCUUCGGGCCCUUGUUGAAACCUUGAACAAUAAGUUACAGGAAUCAGAAGAAGCAAGGAUCAGGCAAGAAGAAGAAAGGACCAAGCAAGAAGAGGAGAACAGGAAAAAGCAAGCUGAGCUGGAAGCUAAAUUAGACUUUUUACUAAAUCAGAUUCAUCCAAGAUAA